rnacentral:rRNA from 1 species
GACGAACGCUGGCGGCGUGCCUAAUACAUGCAAGUCGAGCGAGUCUGCCUUGAAGAUCGGAGUGCUUGCACUCUGUGAAACAAGAUACAGGCUAGCGGCGGACGGGUGAGUAACACGUGGGUAACCUGCCCAAGAGAUCGGGAUAACACCUGGAAACAGAUGCUAAUACCGGAUAACAACAGAUGAUGCCUUUCAACUGUUUAAAAGAUGGUUCUGCUAUCACUCUUGGAUGGACCUGCGUUGCAUUAGCUAGUUGGUAGGGUAACGGCCUACCAAGGCGAUGAUGCAUAGCCGAGUUGAGAGACUGAUCGGCCACAUUGGGACUGAGACACGGCCCAAACGCCUACGGGAGGCAGCAGUAGGGAAUCUUCCACAAUGGACGCAAGUCUGAUGGAGCAACGCCGCGUGAGUGAAGAAGGGUUUCGGCUCGUAAAGCUCUGUUGUUGGUGAAGAAGGACAGGGGUAGUAACUGACCUUUGUUUGACGGUAAUCAAUUAGAAAGUCACGGCUAACUACGUG